GCCAAAUCCAUGUGUCUUAAUAAAAGUCAUGCCAAACCGUAUUUGACAUCCGUAAACGUUGGUUCUUUGGCUCACGCAUUAGCCUCUUACCCAUUCAAACAUCUAGUGGAUUUCUUGAUUGAUGGUUUCACGGAGGGAUUUCAUACAGGUUUGGUACAGAAAGAAUUGGAAGAUGGGUUCUUGUUGGGACCUUUUCAGGCACCCCCAUU